AGGGCACCACCAGGAGUGGAGCCUGCGGCUUAAUUUGACUCAACACGGGAAAACUCACCCGGCCCGGACACUGGAAGGAUUGACAGAUUGAGAGCUCUUUCUUGAUUCAGUGGGUGGUGGUGCAUGGCCGUUCUUAGUUGGUGGAGUGAUUUGUCUGGUUAAUUCCGAUAACGAACGAGACUCUAGCCUACUAAAUAGAUAGUCGGCUUACAAACGUCGACUAGACUUCUUAGAGGGACAGGCGGUGAUUCAACCGCACGAAACAGAGCAAUAACAGGUCUGUGAUGCCCUUAGAUGUCCGGGGCCGCACGCGCGCUACACUGAAGUGAUCAGCGUGCUUUUUCAGCCUACUCUGUCAAGAGUGGGAAACCCAAUGAAUCUUCUUCGUGAUUGGGAUAGGGGAUUGUAAUUAUUCCCCUUUGAACGAGGAAUUCCUAGUAAGUGCGAGUCAUAAGCUCGCGUUGAUUUCGUCCCUGCUACUUGUACACACCGUCUUCUUCUUCUCCGAUUUUAUAGUUU
rnacentral:rRNA from 1 species